rnacentral:rRNA from 1 species
GAUGAACGCUGGCGGCGUGCUUAACACAUGCAAGUCGAGCGAGAAGUUUUGAAAAGAUUCUUCGGAUGAAAUUUAAAAUGGAAAGCGGCGGACGGGUGAGUAACGCGUAGGCAACCUGCCCCAUACAAAGGGAUAGCAUUUGGAAACGAAUAUUAAUACCUUAUGAAACUUAACUAGUGCAUGCUAGGUAGGUCAAAGAUUUAUCGGUAUGGGAUGGGCCUGCGUCUGAUUAGCUAGUUGGUGAGGUAACGGCUCACCAAGGCGACGAUCAGUAGCCGACCUGAGAGGGUGAACGGCCACAUUGAAGCUGAGACACGGUCCAAACUCCUACGGGAGGCAGCAGUGGGGAAUAUUGCACAAUGGGGGAAACCAUGAUGCAGCAACGCCGCGUGAACGAUGAAGGCCUUUGGGUCGUAAAGUUCUGUUCUAGGUGAUGAAAACUGACAGUAACCUAGGAGAAAGCCCCGGCUAACUCCGUG